GCAGAUACACCCAGCCGGCGACAGUCACCACACCCUGUCUGUAUUUACUAUGAAUAAAUCUGGCUAGGUUGCUUUGUUGUUACAACGACAGACCAAUUAUUCAAAGCUCAAGUUCAAGUUUAUAUAUUCUGAUUCCUCAGUUGGUUUUCAUAUCAUGACAAAGGAGCAGCUUCCAGGGGAAAAAUAUGAAGAAAUGCUUCCAAAGAAAGAACCAUGUAAGGUUCAGAGAAUGAUCUGCACAUGGAAUAAUAGAACUGAAACUAUUCUUUUUUUAUUAUGAGUACAAUUGUAACCACAGUUUGAACAGAUCCCACCUUUUAUCAACAAAGCGAUUAAGAAUUGUCUUUCAGAAAAUUUGCAAAGUCAUGUAGCCACAGUAUGCAAAAGAGAAGAAAUGUUGAUCUGAAAUCACCAAGGAAACAAAAAUUCUCCUCCCCAUGGAACCAAAGGACCAGGACAUGACUGAAACUUAAAAGUUGGACUCUUAUCCGAAGCGAGGGGUCCGUCAUCCAGGAAGAUCUGGUGUUAAAUUUCCUUCCCCAUCAUACCAUAAAUGUUUAAAACCUUACCAUAAAUGUUUAGAACCUUACCAUAAAUGCUUAAAGCUCAACAAUCAAAACCUGUCCCACCAGCAUUUCUGUAUGCCAACCUGUUCUCCCUAACCUCUUAAAUUUCACCACAAAUCCUGAAUCGGGGAGACAGAUCUAAGAGCACGUCCCCUGUCUCCUUGCAGACUGAUGUUUAGAGAUUUAGUCCUUUGUUUCUCAAGGCCAUUUUCUGCAUUAGAAUUCCCCCUAAAGCUUGUUUAAAAAGUGAAGAGUCCCAGGCCCUGUCAUUGGUAUAUAUCUAGUGUAUUUGACACUCAGAGUGGAUAACUUUUUAACACUCUGUUCUUCUAUACAACAAAAUCAGUUUUAGUAACAAUAGAGAAACAGUAACAAUAAUGGCCAGAAAAGAAAAAGAGACAGUGAAGAUUUUUGUUGAAAUUUCAUAUAAUCAAGGUAGUCAAAAAUUAAGUUAAAAAAUAUUACAGAAACAAAAAGGAAAAAAAAUUUUCAACAGUUUUAU